AUUCCAGCUCCAAUAGCGUAUAUUAAAGUUGUUGCGGUUAAAAAGCUCGUAGUUGGAUUUCUGUCAAAGGUAAGGCGGUCCAUCUUAUGGAUGUGCAUCUGCCUAUGCCUUGGCAUCCUCAUGAAGAACGUUUUCGCGCUUCACUGCGUGUUUACGGUAUUCAUGACUUUUACUUUGAGGAAAUUAGAGUGUUCACGGCAGGCAAUCGCUUUGGAUACAUUAGCAUGGAAUAAUACUAUAGGACCUCGGUUCUAUUUUGUUGGUUUCUAGAGCUGAGGUAAUGAUUAAUAGGGAUAAUCGGGGGUCUUUGUAUUGCAACGUCAGAGGUGAAAUUCUUGGAUUGUUGCACGACAAACUACUGCGAAAGCAUUGACCAAGGAUGUUUUCAUUA
rnacentral:rRNA from 1 species